rnacentral:rRNA from 1 species
UACGGAGGGAGCUAGCGUUAUUCGGAAUCACUGGGCGUAAAGGGCGCGUAGGCGGGGAGGUAAGUCGGGUGUGAAAUCCCUCGGCCCAACUGAGGAACUGCGCCCGAGACUGCUUCUCUUGAGUCCCGGAGAGGAAGAUGGAAUUCCCGGUGUAGCGGUGAAAUGUGUAGAGAUCGGGAGGAACACCGGUGGCGAAGGCGGUCUUCUGGACGGUGACUGACGCUGAGGCGCGAAAGCGUGGGGAGCAAACGGG